GCCAGGCAUGGUGGCUCAUGCCUGUAAUCCCAGCACCUUGGGAGGCCGAGGUGGGUGGAUCAUCUGAGGUCAGGAGUUCAAGACCAGCCUGGCCAACACGGUGAAACCCCAUCUCUA
rnacentral:sRNA from 1 species